AUUGAACGCUGGCGGCAGGCCUAACACAUGCAAGUCGAGCGGAGGUAGCAAUACCUUAGCGGCGAACGGGUGAGGAAUGCUUGGGAAUCUGCCUGGUAGUGGGGGAUAACGCUCCGAAAGGAACGCUAAUACCGCAUACGUCCUACGGGAGCAAGGGGGGGAUCUUCGGACCUCUCGCUAUCAGAUGAGCCCAAGCGGGAUUAGCUAGUUGGUGAGGUAAAGGCUCACCAAGGCGACGAUCCCUAGCUGGUCUGAGAGGAUGAUCAGCCACACUGGAACUGAGACACGGUCCAGACUCCUACGGGAGGCAGCAGUGGGGAAUAUUGGACAAUGGGCGAAAGCCUGAUCCAGCCAUGCCGCGUGUGUGAAGAAGGCCUUCGGGUUGUAAAGCACUUUAAGCGAGGAGGAAGGUUCGUCACCUAAUACGUGACGGAAUUGACGUUACUCGCAGAAUAAGCACCGGCUAACUCUGUGCCAGCCGCCGCCGUAAUAC
rnacentral:rRNA from 1 species